CCUACGGGAGGCAGCAGUGAGGAAUCUUCGUCAAUGGGCGCGAGCCUGAACCAGCCAAGUAGCGUGAAGGAUGACUGCCCUACGGGCUGUAAACUUCUUUUAUAAAGGAAUACAGUGAGGCACGUGUGCCUUUUUGUAUGUACUUUAUGAAUAAGGAUCGGCUAACUCCGUGCCAGCAGCCGCGGUAAUACGGAGGAUCCGAGCGUUAUCCGGUUUUAUUGGGUUUAAAGGGAGCGUAGAUGGGUUGUUAAGUCAGUUGUGAAAGUUUGCGGCUCAACCGUAAGAUUGCAAUUGAUACUGGCAGUCUUGAGGACAGAUGAGGUAGGCGGAAUUCGUGGUGUAGCGGUGAAAUGCUUAGAUAUCACGAAGAACUCCGAUUGCGAAGGCAGCUUACUAAACUGCAACUGACAUUGAUGCUCGAAAGUGUGGGUAUCAAACAGGAUUAGAUACCCCUGUAGUC
rnacentral:rRNA from 1 species